rnacentral:autocatalytically_spliced_intron from 1 species
GAGAGCCCGUUGCGUCGAGAGGCGCACGGCGGGUUCGGCGAGCGGCCUGGGGAAACGGACCAGUGGCGACACCGGCACCGCGCCCCAGGCCGACUCAUCU